rnacentral:rRNA from 1 species
UACGAAGGGGGCUAGCGUUGCUCGGAAUCACUGGGCGUAAAGGGUGCGUAGGCGGGUCUUUUAAGUCAGGGGUGAAAUCCUGGAGCUCAACUCCAGAACUGCCUUUGAUACUGGGGAUCUCGAGUCCGGGAGAGGUGAGUGGAACUGCGAGUGUAGAGGUGAAAUUCGUAGAUAUUCGCAAGAACACCAGUGGCGAAGGCGGCUCACUGGCCCGGUACUGACGCUGAGGUGCGAAAGCGUGGGGAGCAACAGG